rnacentral:rRNA from 1 species
GAUGAACGCUGGCGGCGUGCCUAAUACAUGCAAGUCGAGCGAAUGGAUUAAGAGCUUGCUCUUAUGAAGUUAGCGGCGGACGGGUGAGUAACACGUGGGUAACCUGCCCAUAAGACUGGGAUAACUCCGGGAAACCGGGGCUAAUACCGGAUAACAUUUUGAACCGCAUGGUUCGAAAUUGAAAGGCGGCUUCGGCUGUCACUUAUGGAUGGACCCGCGUCGCAUUAGCUAGUUGGUGAGGUAAAGGCACACCAAGGCAACGAUGCGUAGCCGAACGGAGAGGGGGAGCGGACAAAAUGGAACUGGGACAUGGCACAGAAUCCUAAGGGAGGCAGCAGUAGGGAAUCUUCCGCAAUGUACGAAAGUCUGACGGCGCAACGCCGCGUUAGUGAUGAAGGCUUUCGGGUCGUAAAACUCUGUUGUUAGGGAAGAACAAGUGCUAGUUGAAUAAGCUGGCACCUUUACGGUACCUAACCAGAAAGCCACGGCUAACUACGUGCCAGCCGCCGCAGUAA